rnacentral:rRNA from 1 species
ACACAUGCAGUCGGACGGUAGCACAGAGGAGCUCUGCUCCUUGGGUGACGAGUGGCGGACGGGUGAGUAAUGUCUGGGGAUCUGCCCGAUAGAGGGGGAUAACCACUGGAAACGGUGGCUAAUACCGCAUAACGUCGCAAGACCAAAGAGGGGGACCUUCGGGCCUCUCACUAUCGGAUGAACCCAGAUGGGAUUAGCUAGUAGGCGGGGUAAUGGCCCACCUAGGCGACGAUCCCUAGCUGGUCUGAGAGGAUGACCAGCCACACUGGAACUGAGACACGGUCCAGACUCCUACGGGAGGCAGCAGUGGGGAAUAUUGCACAAUGGGCGCAAGCCUGAUGCAGCCAUGCCGCGUGUAUGAAGAAGGCCUUCGGGUUGUAAAGUACUUUCAGCGGGGAGGAAGGCGAUGCGGUUAAUAACCGCGUCGAUUGACGUUACCCGCAGAAGAAGCACCGGCUAACUCCGUGCCAGCAGCCGCGGUAAUACGGAGGGUGCAAGCGUUAAUCGGAAUUUACUGGGCGUAAAGCGCACGCAGGCGGUCUGUUAAGUCAGAUGUGAAAUCCCCGGGCUUAACCUGGGAACUGCAUUUGAAACUGGCAGCUUGAGUCUUGUAGAGGGGGGUAGAAU